AGAAGUGCGGGAUUUCCCUCUCCCAAAAACCCUUGCGCUAUGUCUCUCUCUUUCUCUAAAGACCCCUCUCACUCUACGACACCCUAAAUCCAUCUCAUUCCAAUUCAUCUUUCUCUUCUAAAACUCUAGGGUUUCACUCUCUCUUCCCUAGUUCUUCAGCAUCACAUAUUUCAUCAGCAAUGGAGUAAUGGCGUGAGCAACUUCUCUUCCCUUUUAAAGCAAGCAAUGGAAUUAUGGGUAAUAGCUUACUUUUUCCUUCUUCCCCUCCCUUUUUCUAUAUCAUGUACGUCGCCGGUUCACCCUUGGGAUUGCGAGGGGGUUGUGGAAGAGGACAUGGACAUAGGACCCUUCAUACAAGAUUUCUUAAACCCAUUGAUUAUCUCUUGGUGCAUUUUUUUGCAUCCAGAUCUUCUCUUAUCUUCUCUCCCGAAUAUUUACCAGAACUUCCUGACAUGGAGCAACAUCUCGCUAAUGCUGGACUUCCAUGAGGAUAUGUUUGAGGAGCUCAGCAAGUAUGGAGAGAUUGAAGGCCUAAAUAUCUGCGACAAUUUUGGCUGACCAUGUGGUCGGUAACUUGUACGUUUAGUUCAUAGAGGAGGAACAUGUAGCAAAUGGACUAUGGGCUUUGUCCAUUAGAUUCUCUGUGGGCAGUAUGAGGAGAACACUUGCAAUCGAAGUGGCUAUUGCAAUGUGAAGAAGAUGAAUAGGUCUCAGUCUAAUUUGUUAGUUUCCUUCGAAACAUCCAACCCAUAAAGAUUGAACCAACUACUCUAGCACUUGUGGGUUUGUUUUGUAGCUUACUUAUUCUGGUCAUAUUAAUUAUUUUCACUUUCCUCAAUAAAAAUGGGUUUAUUUAUUUCAAGAUCAAA